GGGGCUGAUUCUGGAUUCGACGGGAUUUGCGAAACCCAAGGUGCAUGCCGAGGGGCGGUUGGCCUCGUAAAAAGCCGCAAAAAAUAGUCGCAAACGACGAAAACUACGCUUUAGCAGCUUAAUAACCUGCUUAGAGCCCUCUCUCCCUAGCCUCCGCUCUUAGGACGGGGAUCAAGAGAGGUCAAACCCAAAAGAGAUCGCGUGGAAGCCCUGCCUGGGGUUGAAGCGUUAAAACUUAAUCAGGCUAGUUUGUUAGUGGCGUGUCCGUCCGCAGCUGGCAAGCGAAUGUAAAGACUGGCUAAGCAUGUAGUACCGAGGAUGUAGGAAUUUCGGACGCGGGUUCAACUCCCGCCAGCUCCACCA
rnacentral:tmRNA from 1 species